AACACAAUUCUCUUUGGGUGUUUACUUGAUUUGUUAUAUCUUUCUGUUUUUGUUUUUCUUCUCGUUUUUUCGAUUCGUUCGUGCACAA
rnacentral:ribozyme from 13 species